GGGAAUAGAUGCGUAACAAUUAGGGAGUCAGGGUAAAGGAUCACUUUCAGUAUAAAAGUACAAGAGAGAAAUGCAGGCAAUUGCCUGUAGUCUAUACUUUAUUAUUGUAAAAGUACUGUUGCUGGGGGCAAGGAAGUAAAACCCUCACAGCUAUUCUGUAGAAUUAAGUAAGACUUAUUUAAACAGCUUCCUACAAACACUUACUCUAUUUUUAGGUUGAUGUCACUAAACUAAAAUAGAUCUCCACUUAGUGAAAGAUUCAAAUGCUGAUCAAAAGAUUAAAAGUGAAAACAUUUUAUUGCUAAGUUGCCUCAGGACAGAGAGAAAAACGUCAGAACAUAUAGUUCAGGCAAACACUUGGACCAUGUGUCCAUAGAUGAAACAUCCUCAAAUUGGGUCCAGGCCCAGCUGAACAUCUCUGGAAGGAUAAAAGCACUUUCUUUCCAGCUGAAGUUUUCAAACUCUCUCCCAGAUCGCCUGCCCCGAUUCAGGUGUGCCACCAGACACUGGUUCUACUUGGAAUUCCGAAAACUCCUUUCCCAUCAUGAAGCUACUGUACCUUCUCUUCCUCUUACUUGUGUGUCUUAUCCAGACAACAUCGGGUUAAG